AGUAUUCAGGAUUUUAGCCUCAACUUGGCUCCAAACUGUUUACCAAGUAAACAUUUCCAUAUUGAUCAAGAUAACGUGUAAGUCUAUACAGUAACAGCAGUUCUCAGUAAGCCUGAACCGCUCCUGCUGGCCUAUCUUCACAGAGGUGGAACUAAAUGAUUGUGUUAUGUCUAAUUUUCAAAAUAUGUGUAAAAUUAGAUUUUAAAUUCAUAGUUAUAGGAAUGUAUCUUUCUUCUUUAGAUCCAAGUGUAACUGUAGUCAAAACUGUCAAAAAUUGAGGGUCAUAAACACCUCUUUUCCCUUGUUGCAGGCUCUCAGUGACCCGAAGAUGCUCCACCCCUUCCCAAGUCCAACAUGUGUUCAACUCCAAGAUCUAGGUUGAGAAGUGUCUAGAUCUAAUUCAAUGUACAAGGUUGCCUUCUGAUCACAUAGACGAAGACAGUCAGCCCCAGCCUCUCCACGCUCCCGAAGCAACUGUGAACACUUACAUUUCUCAUCAGAACUCAGUGGUAAAAUUCCAAGUUGUUUUUUGUCUGUCUCCCAUACUGCACAAUGAGCUAUAUGAAGACAGAGACUGGAUAAUCCCAGCAAUUGUGCAUAGUGCUUGGAUAUGAUAGGUAAUAUUUCUUGAAUAAAUGGAUAAAAUGUUA